rnacentral:piRNA from 1 species
UGAAAGAAAUUUGGAAUGUUAUAUGGCUGU